UGGGCGGUAUCUGAUUAGAACCGCACCACUUGUUUGGGUUGGUUGGGUAGGUGAUGCGUUUUGGAUUAAGCUAACAUACCUCCGCUUGGAGCCGGUAGGACCGAGACGGGUUU
rfam:Desulfotomaculum gibsoniae DSM 7213, complete genome.